UAUUGCAGCCUUAUAAUGUUGAUUGCACCUUUUCUCGCCUGAUCACCGAAGUGAAGCAAUGUCGAGCCAACUGGGUACUUAGAUGGGUGACUGCUUGGGCAAGGCAGCAAGCUGGCAGAAU
rnacentral:rRNA from 1 species